GACGAACGCUGGCGGCGUGCUUAACACAUGCAAGUCGUACGGUAAGGCCCUUUCGGGGGUACACGAGUGGCGCACGGGUGAGUAACACGUGAGUAACCUGCCCACAACUUUGGGAUAACGCUAGGAAACUGGUGCUAAUACUGGAUAUGUGCUUCUGCGGCAUGGUGGGGGUUGGAAAGCUCCGGCGGUUGUGGAUGGACUCGCGGCCUAUCAGCUUGUUGGUGGGGUAGUGGCCUACCAAGGCGGCGACGGGUAGCCGGCCGGAGAGGGUGACCGGCCACAUUGGGACUGGGAUAACGCCCAGACUCCUACGGGAGGCAGCAGUGGGGGAUAUUGCACAAUGGGCGCGAGCCUGAUGCAGCAACGCCGCGUGCGGGAUGACGGCCUUCGGGUUGUAAACCGCUUUCAGCAGGGACGAAGCUUUUUGUGACGGUACCUGCAGAAGAAGCACCGGCUAACUACGUG
rnacentral:rRNA from 1 species